GAUGAACGCUGGCGGCGUGCCUAACACAUGCAAGUCGAACGAAGCAUACGGGACGGAGAUUCGUCGAAGCCCUGUAUGACUUAGUGGCGGACGGGUGAGUAAUGUAUGAGCAACCUGCCUUUCAGAGGGGGACAACAGUUGGAAACGACUGCUAAUACCGCAUAAUGUAUUUGGGUGGCAUCACCUGGAUACCAAAGGAGCAAUCCGCUGAAAGAUGGGCUCAUAUCUGAUUAGCUUGUUGGCGGGGUAACGGCCCACCAAGGCGACGAUCAGUAGCCGGACUGAGAGGUUGAACGGCCGCAUUGGAACUGAGAUACGGUCCAGACUCCUACGGGAGGCAGCAGUAAGGGAUAUUGCACAGUGGGCGAAAGCCUGAUGCAGCAAUGCCGCGUGAGGGAAGACGGUCUUCGGAUUGUAAACCUAAGUAGUCAGGGACGAUAAUGACGGUACCUGAAGAGUAAGCUCCUGCUAACUACGUGCCAGCCGCCGCAGUAAAAC
rnacentral:rRNA from 1 species